rnacentral:rRNA from 1 species
AGUGAACGCUGGCGGCAUGCCUUACACAUGCAAGUCGAACGGCAGCACGGGAGCUUGCUCCUGGUGGCGAGUGGCGAACGGGUGAGUAAUGCAUCGGAACGUGCCCUGAAGUGGGGGAUAACGUAGCGAAAGUUACGCUAAUACCGCAUAUUCUGUGAGCAGGAAAGCAGGGGAUCUUCGGACCUUGCGCUUUUGGAGCGGCCGAUGUCGGAUUAGCUAGUUGGUGGGGUAAAGGCCCACCAAGGCGACGAUCCGUAGCGGGUCUGAGAGGAUGAUCCGCCACACUGGGACUGAGACACGGCCCAGACUCCUACGGGAGGCAGCAGUGGGGAAUUUUGGACAAUGGGCGCAAGCCUGAUCCAGCCAUGCCGCGUGAGUGAAGAAGGCCUU